rnacentral:rRNA from 1 species
AGGACUCCCAUGCGGAGUGGGCAUGCCGCAUCACAAGGGCCACCCAGAACUGGCUCAACUAUGUCAUCCAUAUCAACUUUCGAUGCCACUUUCUGCGCCUACCAUGGUGACCACGGGUAACGGGGAGUUAGGGUUCGAUUCCGGAGAGGGAGCCUGAGAAACGGCUACCACAUGCAAGGAAGGCAGCAGGCGCGCAAAUUACCCACUCCCGAUGCGGGAAGGUUGUGA